UUGUGGCAAGGUGGCCUGGGUCAACCCAUGAUUCAUACAUCCUUACAAACAGCAUGGUUGGGAUGAGGCUCCAAGCUGGCAGGGUUCGCGAUGGGUGGCUUCUUGGAGACCGCGGUUAUCCACUAAAGACGUGGCUGUUAACCCCCCUCACCAACCCACAAACUGACCGAGAGCGCAGAUACAAUGAUGCACAUUCUCGCACUCGGUCAGUGGUAGAGCGGGCGAUUGGGCAGCUGAAAUGUCGCUGGCGCUGCCUUGACAGGACCGGGGGGAUGCUGUUAUACCGCCCUGAGAAGGUGUGCCGCAUCGUGCUGGCCUGUGGUGUGCUGCACAAUGUCGCGCACAGGCACGGCAUACCACUUGGUGAGGUGGUGGCACCGCCAGAUGACCCCGACCCAGGACCAGUGUAUGUGCAGCCCAACCAACAAGCCAUUCAGGCCCGUCAACAUGUGAUUGCGACAAUAUAAAUGAACAGCAUGCGUCAAGACGCGGCCAGAUGGACGGGCCUCAGCACUGGGGGGAGCACUGGAAACGCCGGAGACGCUGGACACA